rnacentral:rRNA from 1 species
AUAUCAAUAAGCGGAGGAAAAGAAACUAACAAGGAUUCCCCUAGUAACUGCGAGUGAAGCGGGAAAAGCUCAAAUUUAAAAUCUGGCGGUUUCUGGACUGUCCGAGUUGUAAUCUAGAGAAGUGUUUACCUGUGCUGGACCGUGUACAAGUCUCCUGGAAUGGAGCAUCAUAGAGGGUGAGAAUCCCGUCUUUGACACGGACUACCCGUACAUUAUGGGUGCGCUCUCGAAGAGUCGAGUUGUUUGGGAAUGCAGCUCAAAAUGGGUGGUAAAUGCCAUCUAAAGCUAAAUAUUGGCGAGAGACCGAUAGCGAACAAGUACCGUGAGGGAAAGAUGAAAAGAACUUUGGAAAGAGAGUUAAACAGUACGUGAAAUUGCUGAAAGGGAAACGCUUGAAGUCAGUCGCGUUGGCUGGAAAUCAGCCUUGCUUUUGCUUGGUGUAUUUUCUGGUCCGACGGGUCAGCAUCAAUUUUGACCGUUGGAGAAAGGCGUUGGGAAUGUGGCACCUUUUGGUGUGUUAUAGCCCUUUGUUGUAUACAACGGUUGGGAUUGAGGACUGCAGCACGCCUUUAUGGCCGGGGUUCGCCCACGUACGUGCUUAGGGUGUUGGCAUAAUGGCUUUAAGCGA